AGUGAACGCUGGCGGUAGGCCUAACACAUGCAAGUCGAACGGCAGCACAGGAGAGCUUGCUCUCUAGGUGGCGAGUGGCGGACGGGUGAGGAAUACAUCGGAAUCUGCCCAGUCGUGGGGGAUAACGUAGGGAAACUUACGCUAAUACCGCAUACGACCUUCGGGUGAAAGAGGGGGAUCGCAAGACCUCUCGCGAUUGGAUGAGCCGAUGUCGGAUUAGCUAGUUAGCGGGGUAAUGGCCCACCAAGGCGACGAUCCGUAGCUGGUCUGAGAGGAUGAUCAGCCGCACUGGAACUGAGACACGGUCCAGACUCCUACGGGAGGCAGCAGUGGGGAAUAUUGGACAAUGGGCGCAAGCCUGAUCCAGCCAUACCGCGUGGGUGAAGAAGGCCUUCGGGUUGUAAAGCCCUUUUGUUGGGAAAGAAAUCUUUCAGGCUAAUACCCUGGGAGGAUGACGGUACCCAAAGAAUAAGCACCGGCUAACUUCGUG
rnacentral:rRNA from 1 species